rnacentral:RNase_P_RNA from 1 species
CAGAUAUGCAGUGAUGAUCGCCGUCCAGUUAAACCUGGAGGGAGGAAAGUCCGGGCAACACCAAGGGCUGACAGUUGCUAACGGCAACCAAGAGUGAUCUUAGGGAAAGUGCCACAGAAACGACACAGCUAACGUUCGUAUUCCGAACAAGCUAUGGUGAAAAGAGUGGGGUAAGAGCCCACAGGUCCCAUGGGUGACUAUGGGACGAGGUAAACCCUGUCUGUUGCAAGGAGCGAAGCUUUGUCGACUUGUCGACCGGUACCCUUGCCGAGCUUCGCGCUAAAAACCGCUUGAUCUCGCGAGCAAUUGCGAGACUAGAUAGAUGAUCGUCCUCGACAGAACCCGGCUUAUUAGCAUAUCUGGCAU